rnacentral:lncRNA from 1 species
AUUUGGCUUAGUGCCUGUGUUCCCAAAUCCUUCAGACAAAGCAGCUUCAGAACCUUGCUUCAGAACUCCCCUGCUUUGAGGGUUUUGCUUUUAAAUCUCAUUUGUAUUAUGGGGUUAUUUGUCAAUCUUUUUCCAGCGCUCUUCUAGUUUAGUGUUUGGGCUUGUUGGGAAGGGAAAGGGACAGAUGAUGCUUUAGUCAGAUGGUUAAAAAGAUUCCUCUGGAUGAGGAGUGUUGCUUGGUAGCACACAGUUGAGCGGUGGUAUUGAAAAGGCAUCAUGUGUGAAUUGGGAAAGUUUUUGUCUCCUCCUUUAUUACAGGUAAUCAGCACUGCAUAUCUGAGAGACUGAGGAGAUAGUACUGGUGGUUGUGAAACACAUAGACAAUAGAAUAAAUGAGGAGUUGGGCUUUUUUUCCCUUUUCUGCAUAGCAAUUUCAGGACUUCAGUAAGGUAUUCUUUUCCUUUUCUUUCUUUCAUUCUUUGAUUGUCGUUGGAGUCCCUCUGAUGACGCCACGAAUCUGGGAAUGAAGAACUUCUUCAAGCUGAUUGGAAAUGGCAUUGCGGAGCUGAAACUUAACUGGAGGAAAUAUAUCUCCCGAAGAAGGAAAUAUAAUGCACUUUAAAGAUCUGACUUCUGGUGAAAAAUUCAAGCCUAGAGAAAACUUGUCCGCGUUGUUCGGAAGAAUGGGUUGGACAAUUUUCUUCAGUUCCACAGGAUAUCUGAGUGCCAUGCUGAGCUUGAUCUCUGCAGCAUGCUCUGUGCUUCUCAUCUCUUCCUGAUGCACUGCAUGGUCAGCUCUUUAAUUGCAAGCUCCCUGAAGGGCCAUCUUCAGCACUACCCAUUGCAUAGCCCUAUAUUGCUGAUACUGAACAGCAGUUCCUACCAGCUCUAUGGUAGAUAUUAUCCUGAAGGGGAGGAUAAAGAAACUGGCCACCAAGAUGGUAAUCACUAGUGGAAAUGAAGAAGACAAAGGCAGUCAAGAAAAGGAAAGCAAAGAAGAAACCAUCUUGGCAAUGCUUGGAAUUAUUGGGACAAUUCUGAACCUCAUUGUGAUCAUUUUUGUGUACAUUUACACAACGUUGUAAACUAGCAGGCAUGCAAAUAGAACAGAUAAAACGGCCAUUAAGAGUGACAACAAACAUUGCUGACUAUUGACAAGUUGUUUAAUCAGAAUUGACUCUGUAUUAUAUUAACACAUCAUAAAAGCACUGCCUGCAGGCAGCGAAGGCUGAAGCACAAUUAAUUUAACAAGACUUCUUCACGCAGUAACAAGCUAAACUCUUCUGUCCUGCCCUCUUCCUUUUGCUUUGGUUUCUGGUUUGGGGGAAACAUGACUGCAAUUAUGUAAGUUGUAGCUUUGAAGAAAUCCACCUGGGUUAUGUUAUUUUAACACAAUUAAAGAAAAAAAAAGGAAAAAAAAAAGAAAAAAAAGAAACUGUACACUAUAUACAAUUAAAAAUGUAUACUGUAUACCUGCAAAGAUGGAAUUCUAAGAUAGCUACAUAGCACAGAUCACGUGUCCAUUAGGUCAAAUGAUAUUUUUUCUCUUGAUUUAUGCUUUUACUUACAUUGAAUCUGACAAGCUUUUUGUUUAGAAUGAACAUAUGGUGCAAUCAUGAAAAAAAACAAUUCUAUUGAGCAAAAUCUGCCUAAAACUGAUAAGAUGUUGGGAGAAAUGCAGUAUGUGGUUAUUUUAACUUUCUCAUUUGCUUAACAUCUGUGUCUGUUCAUACCAAUGUUUAUAAAUAUAUAUUUUUAAUAAAUGUGCUAUAUUUU